CGUGGGGAGCAAACAGGUUAGAUACCCUGGUAGUACACGCGUAAACGAUGAUAACUAGCUGCUGGGGCGCACGGCGCUUCGGUGGCGCAGCUAACGCAUUAUGUUAUCCGCCUGGGGAGUACGGUCGCGAGAUUAUAACUCAAAGGAAUUGACGGGGGCGUGCACACGCGGUGGAGCAUGUGGUUUAAUUCGAAGCAACGCGCAGAACAUUACCAACGUUUGACAUCCAUAGUAUGGUUAGUGGAGACACUUUCAUUCAGUUCGGCUGGCUAGGUGACAGGUGCUGCAUGGCUGUCGUCAGCUCGUGUCGUGAGAUGUUGGGUUAAGUCCCGCAACGAGCGCAACCCUCGCCUUUAGUUGCCAUCAUUUAGUUGGGCACUCUAAAGGAACCGCCGGUGAUAAGCCGGAGGAAGGUGGGGAUGACGUCAAGUCCUCAUGGCCCUUACGCGUUGGGCUACACACGUGCUACAAUGGCGAGUACAGUGGGCAGCGACCGUGCGAGCGGAAGCUAAUUUCCAAAAGUCGUCUCAGUUCGGAUCGUUCUGUGCAACUCGAGAGCGCGAAGGCGGAAUCGCUAGUAAUCGCGGAUCAGCAUGCCGCGGUGAAUACGUUCCCAGGCCUUGUACACACCGCCCGUCACACCAUGGGAGUUGGAUUCACUCGAAGGCGUUGAGCUAACCGCAAGGAGGCAGGCGACCACUGUGGGUUUAGCGACUGGGGUGAAGUCGUAACAAGGUAGCCGUAGGGGAACCUGCGGCUGGAUCACCUCCUU
rnacentral:rRNA from 1 species